rnacentral:rRNA from 1 species
UUUUAAUUUGAAAUUCAAUGGAUCUGGCGGUUUUUAAAUCUUUUCAGAGGAACCUGUAGUUUAAAUGAUAGUCCACGAUUUUUUUUACCUUAAUUUUCUUGUAUAUCUCUGUCGUUGAAUGUAGUUAAAACUUUACUUUCUCUUUUUUUAUUAGAUUUAUGUUAGGUCAAGGUGCAGUUAUAUUCAGGUUACUAUGGGUUACAUUAAUAUUUGUUUGUUGAUUUUAUUUAAAUAAUGUUUAUGAAUUUGGAUUUGAUAGUAAUUUUUUUUCUUAAAUUUUUUGAAUUUUGCUCUUAAUUAUGU